AUGCAAAAUUCGUUUGUGUGUUUACAUCACGCUUGUGUGCGAUUCGUUUUUUCUUCGUAAAUUGUUCUAGCAAAAUGUGACAUUCGUCAUGAACUUGCGAGCGCGAAUAUCCACCAGAUGCGUUCGCGGCACUUCGAAUGAAUAGCGACACAUUGAAGCCAAGGUGCUCAGGAUCUGUUGUUGAGGACUACUGGUGCGAUACGGGACAUUCAUGGGCCUAACGGUCCUAAGCGACGCAUCAGCUAGCACAAGAUCCUGCCAACGGAACCAGCUCAACUAUGCGAAUUACCUAGCGCAAGAUUCCAGGAAGCGUCCGCAGCCAAGCUUCAGCUUCAGCGACAAUGUUCAGAGGCUGUGAUUUACAUCCGUCAGAGACCGAAGGACCGGUGCCCUACUGCCAGCUCGGCCGAUGGCCGACUACGGCCCGAUGUGGCCAUUGCGGAGCCGUUGUCCAGACGCUUACGCAGAGCCGUCCCAGCACCCUGGCGUGGCUCUCCUGCAGUCUGCUCACCCUGCUUUGCUUUCCUUACUGCUGCUGUUGCAUACCGCUGGCGCCGCUGUUCGUGCCUGGCUGCCAGCAAGUCACCCACCGGUGCCCCAGUUGUGGAUUCGUGCUGGCAAGUACCGGCCCCUGGUAGUUGGGACGUCGUCACCGUCCGGAGGACCUGCCGCUGUACCCGUCGUCUGGCGGUCGCACUUCUGGGCUGCAAUGACUGCACCUGGGACGCAGGGCACAUUGCUCUUGAAUGCGAUUCGGCUGAGCGGAGAAGAGUGUAACCAGCCGACGUGUAUCGACGCAAAGUGCCAUUGAAACAAAAAAAUGCUAAAAGAAAAAGGAGUGCAAAAAAUUCUGUCGGGUUAAGAGCGCACGUAUGGGCACGAGCGAUCGGCACAUGGUAGCAAGAUUGCAGUGAAUAAUUAUAGAUUCACAUUUUUUUAAUCGAA